rnacentral:lncRNA from 1 species
GUGGCAAGAAGAAAAGCUUAAGAAUUUCAAGUGGCUUGAUUGAACUCUUCUUCAUGGUCGCUGAGUCAAGGACCUUCUCUUCUAGUGAAUUUAAGGGUUUUGUGGAUCACUAGUCUUUCUUUAUGAACUCUGUCCUCUUUUCUCAUACAAUUUAUCUUUUCCACAUAUGGAUGGAAUAAAACUGCAGAAAAUAUAAUGAAAUGGAUAACCAUAUAUUUUUUAAAAUAGAAAUUUUUGAGUAUUGACAUUCAAGGUUUUAAUUCUAGAUUUAAAAAUACAUUUUAUUUACACACUCAUCAGUUAAUGGACGCUUGAAUUAUUUUCACUUUUGGUCUGUUAUGAAUAAUGCUACUAUGAACAUUAAUGUAUAAGUAUUUGUGUGAACAAAUAGAACAGACAUGGUCAGUU